GGGCUCGUAGUGUAGCUUGGUUAACACGUGUCCCUGUCAAGGACAAGAUCGCCGGUUCGAAUCCGGUCGGGCCCGCCA
rnacentral:tRNA from 2 species